ACGCGAAGAACCUUACCUGGUCUUGACAUCCACAGAACUUUCCAGAGAUGGAUUGGUGCCUUCGGGAACUGUGAGACAGGUGCUGCAUGGCUGUCGUCAGCUCGUGUUGUGAAAUGUUGGGUUAAGUCCCGCAACGAGCGCAACCCUUAUCCUUUGUUGCCAGCGGUCCGGCCGGGAACUCAAAGGAGACUGCCAGUGAUAAACUGGAGGAAGGUGGGGAUGACGUCAAGUCAUCAUGGCCCUUACGACCAGGGCUACACACGUGCUACAAUGGCGCAUACAAAGAGAAGCGACCUCGCGAGAGCAAGCGGACCUCAUAAAGUGCGUCGUAGUCCGGAUUGGAGUCUGCAACUCGACUCCAUGAAGUCGGAAUCGCUAGUAAUCGUGGAUCAGAAUGCCACGGUGAAUACGUUCCCGGGCCUUGUACACACCGCCCGU
rnacentral:rRNA from 1 species